AACUGCGACUGAAUGGCUGGGACCUCCCUGAGCCUCAGAUAUGGUUGAACUUGAGCCUCGUGACUCUGAUGCAGACAGAUGAUAAGGGAGGCUGCUUAAACCAAAAGAUGGGAAACAGUACAACUCUCAUUCCUUCUUAUACAUCAUCAUCUGCAGUCAGUCUUCCCACAGGAACCAUGAUUUCCAUGGUGACAGCCUCACUGGCCCUGAUGGCAGGAACCCUCCGCUUGACACCCUGAAAAUCUCAGCUUUUUACUUUAAAGCGAAAUUAGAACAUAAUUGGUAUAUAACAAGAUUUGACUCCACAGUACAGGAAG